rnacentral:rRNA from 1 species
GAUGAACGCUGGCGGCGUGCCUAAUACAUGCAAGUCGAGCGAACAGAUAAGGAGCUUGCUCCUCUGACGUUAGCGGCGGACGGGUGAGUAACACGUGGGUAACCUAUCUAUAAGACUGGAAUAACUUCGGGAAACCGGAGCUAAUGCCGGAUAAUAUAUUGAACCGCAUGGUUCUAUAGUGAAAGGCGGCUUUGCUGUCACUUAUAGAUGGAUCCGCGCCGCAUUAGCUAGUUGGUAAGGUAACGGCUUACCAAGGCAACGAUCCGUAGCCGACCUGAGAGGGUGAUCGGCCACACUGGAACUGAGACACGGUCCAGACUCCUACGGGAGGCAGCAGUAGGGAAUCUUCCGCAAUGGGCGAAAGCCUGACGGAGCAACGCCGCGUGAGUGAUGAAGGUCUUCGGAUCGUAAAACUCUGUUAUUAGGGAAGAACAAAUGCGUAAGUAACUGUGCGCGUCUUGACGGUACCUAAUCAGAAAGCCACGGCUAACUACGUG